GAUGAACGCUGGCGGCGUGCCUAAUACAUGCAAGUAGAACGCUGAAGGAGGAGCUUGCUCUUCUGGAUGAGUUGCGAACGGGUGAGUAACGCGUAGGUAACCUGCCUGGUAGCGGGGGAUAACUAUUGGAAACGAUAGCUAAUACCGCAUGACAACAGUUAUUGCAUGAUAACUGUUUAAAAGGGGCAACUGCUCCACUACCAGAUGGACCUGCGUUGUAUUAGCUAGUUGGUGAGGUAACGGCUCACCAAGGCGACGAUACAUAGCCGACCUGAGAGGGUGAGCGGCCACACUGGGACGGAGACACGGCCCAGACGCCUACGGGAGGCAGCAGUAGGGAAGCUUCGGCAAGGGACGGAAGUCUGACCGAGCAACGCCGCGUGAGUGAAGAAGGGUUUCGGAUCGUAAAGCUCUGUUGUAAGAGAAGAACGAGUGUGAGAGUGGAAAGUUCACACUGUGACGGUAUCUUACCAGAAAGGGACGGCUAACUACGUG
rnacentral:rRNA from 1 species